GACGAACGCUGGCGGCGUGCUUAACACAUGCCAGUCGAACGGUGAAGCGCCUUCCUUUUUGGUGGGUGUGGAUGAGUGGCGAACGGGUGAGUAACACGUGAGUAACCUGCCCCCUUCUUCUGGAUAACCGCAUGAAAGUGUGGCUAAUACGGGAUAUUCUGGGUCUGUCGCAUGAUGGGUCUGGGAAAGAUAUUGUUUCGGUGGGGGAUGGGCUCGCGGCCUAUCAGCUUGUUGGUGGGGUGAUGGCCUACCAAGACGGUGACGGGUAGCCGGCCUGAGAGGGUGGACGGUCACACUGGGACUGAGACACGGCCCAGACUCCUACGGGAGGCAGCAGUGGGGAAUAUUGCACAAUGGGCGCAAGCCUGAUGCAGCGACGCCGCGUGAGGGAUGGAGGCCUUCGGGUUGUGAACCUCUUUCGCCAGUGAAGCAGGCCUGCCUCGUUUGUGGGUGGGUUGACGGUAGCUGGAGAAGAAGCGCCGGCUAACUACGUG
rnacentral:rRNA from 1 species